rnacentral:rRNA from 1 species
CCUACGGGUGGCAGCAGUGGGGGAUAUUGCACAAUGGGGGAAACCCUGAUGCAGCGACGCCGCGUGUGGGAAGACGGUCCUCUGGAGUGUAAACCACUGUCCCCAGGGACGAAAAUGACGGGACCGGGGGAGGAAGCGCCGGCGAACUACGUGCCAGCAGCCGCGGGAAUACGGAGGGAGCGAGCGGUGUCCGGAAUUACGGGGUGGAAAGGGAGCGUAGGCGGGGAUGCAAGUUGGGGGUCAAAACUACCGGCUCAACUGGUAGUCGCACUCAAAACUGCAGCUCUUGAGGGAAGUAGAGGCCGGCGGCAUUCCUCGUGUAGCGGUGAACUGCGUCGUUCUUAGGAG